UAACCAGUGAUGUGAUGAUUCUGC
rnacentral:piRNA from 3 species